ensembl:processed_transcript uncharacterized LOC110297540
AGCCUUUCGGAGCUGUGCGGCGCGCUGAGCAGGAAUGGCAAUGUGGACCUCUGAUGGAACAUCUGGUGGGAUCUCACAGUCAGUUCUGUGGCAAAGGAGGAUGAAGACUUAAAGAGGACUCAACAGGAAGCUGGAUAACAGAAAGAGAGCAAUGUGCUAGAAUAGAAGACCAGAAAAUGAAAGAUAUGAAAAAAAGGUGGAGUUUAAGGCUGGAUAUACAGCUUGAAAAGUACAAAUGAUGGUUUGAAUAAAGAAAGGUAUGAACGCAUGGGUCACUUCAAGUGAAGGCACUGCAAACACAAUGGGUAAGUCUUUGAAAUGUGCAUUUAUUUACUUUCAACCCUUUCCAAAAAAGCCGAUACCAUGAUGAUAACAUAGUUCAGCAGACUUAACUCUGAUGAACAAUCAUGUCUUUCGCUCCUAUCUGAUGUAUCUGGCUGUAAUGUUUUAUCCCUUUUAAAGAGUUUUCCUUGAAUAGUAUUAGGAAAUACAAGAUACAAGUGAUGAGGCCAAAGCCUGAUGCAAAGGUCCCAUGUGCUGUGCCACUGACUUAACCCAGUAGGACAGUUUUAUUGAGAAAUACAGUUCCCUAGGGUAUGAUUGCAACCAUAGUCUCAGGCCUCUUGGCAAGAGAAUUGAUGUGAGCCCAUGGAGACUAGUGAAGACAACUGAAAACUGAAAAGAAAUAAAAUGAAGAUAAAUAACUGCACUAAUGAAUUUUUUUUUAAUUUUCAAACAGAUCAGUCAUUCUGGAUUUCUGGUCCUUCUGAAUUUUAAAGGCUGCGGUGACAAGUGGACAUGCAGUGACUACCUUUUGUACCUUCCUGUUUCUGAGGUGCCUGGAUGGAGGUUCAAAUAGAAGAUAGUGUCAGAUAUACAUUGUGUUGUCAAAAUUUUACCAUUAAAGUGCAUUACAA